GCCUCUGAGCGGGUCGGUCUCUGGGCGGUUCCCCGUGAGCAGCAGGCCACGUGGUCCCCGGCCGGGCGGCCCCUUCCGGACGGGCGUCUCUGUUUUGCAGGAAAAUUCUCCUUUCCUGGGGUAUUGCUGCCUGUCCCCACCCUGGAGGGGACAGGAAAGUGGACAGAAAGGAACAGGCGUCGGGACCUGCAGGCCUCCCGGGCUCAGCCAGACGUCACCACGGAUCCCGUGGAGGAGACAGCAUCCGUGUUUCCUCAGAGGGACCCGCCAGCUGACACAUGGCUGAGGGAUGUAGAUGCCUGAGCCAUUUCCUCAAGGCAGCGGGCAGCGGCCAGGCCCCCAAGGACCAGCUACGGGGUCAGGGGAGCUGCGGGACCCCCUCCUGGAGGCCAGCCCUCACCUGGCUGAGGAGGACACCACCUGCUGUGCCGGGGGCUUGGGACCACCCGCGUCUCCCCACCGGGCUCCUGAGGUGCCUGACCUCCCCCUCCUGACCCAGCAUGUGAGGCCCUGGCCCAGGGCGCUCCUGCCCCUACCCACCGCCCGGGCCCUGAGCUCAGCUGCAGGACGGCCCUCAGCCUCCUCCUGGGCUGGGACUGGGACGGGGUCAUGUCUGCGCAUCACAUGACUCACAGUCUGGGAAUCGAUUUCCAACUGGCAA